rnacentral:lncRNA from 1 species
GCUUGACUAAUGUUCCCUUGUAAAAUGUUGUGUUAAGCACAUUCCAGGCGCUGACAUUAAAUACUUGGGCCAGGGCAGCGCUCACCCUCCGGCGGCCGCAGCGCUGAGCCAGCCCCAGCCACAGGCCCGUGCUGCCGCAGCCAAAUUUGCUUUUUUCUGCCCCAUCCCCACCUCCCCCUGCCCUCCCUCCGGCACAGCCAGCGUGGGCAGCGGGGGAAGGAGGCAGGGGCAGGACCACGGCUGUCUGGCAGAUGAAAUAAUAAUUACCCCGGCCGCCUCCGGCCUCCCUCGCAUUCCUCUGUGCUAACAGCUCGGCUUAUUUUGUUUUCAUCCGCAAAUAUUGACUCGUCGGGUUCUUUUCACCUCGUGCCUAUUAAAAAGGCAUUGCUCAGAGUAUUGUUAUUGAAUUUGUUCUGCAGCUGCGAGAAGCAUCCAGCAGCUUGAAGGAAUUCACCCACACGGUUAGCGCAGGCCCUGACGGCCUUGUGCCCUCAGUACCCCCCGAAACUGCUUCGCCUGCUGCUCUCCAAGAGACGGGACCUGGGUCUGGCUCAGCAAGGAUUCCACCCAGCCUUUCCACCAAGGGGGAGAUCAGGAUGGUGCUGGGGAUGAGGCAGAACUGUGAUCUGCUCCUGGGGAUGCCUCUUUGCUGCUCUGUGCCUCAGUUUCCCAGGAUCCCACAGCGCACAGUCACAGGCCUUGUUCGGCUUCAGUGUGAUGCCAUUUGCCUCCUGUCUCAGCUGUCCCCAGUAAUUCAUCUCUGGCUUGCUGAUCUGGGGAUGUGGAAGAUCCUCUAGCACCACCAGGCUUCCCUGAGGUGAGUGCAGGCACCAGAGCACCCUCCCAAACCCUGUCUGUCCCUUGUUCCCUGCACACCCACAUUCCCCCUGGCAGGGUUCAUUCUUCCAUCCCUGCUUUGCAUCUGUCACUAUUCCAGCAGUGACAAGUGAGAGCUCAAGCACAGCCAGAGUGAGCAAAUCCUGGCAAAGUGUUGGACUUCGUGUUAGGGAAGAUGCUGGGAAAGUGCAUUUGGGUUCUGUGUAAGAAGCAGGAGAAGAAAACUGGGAUUUACAUGAGCCAGCAAUAAACCAGAGGGGCAAGCCCA